CACGUAGGGUGCGAGCGUUGUCCGGAAUUAUUGGGCGUAAAGAGCUCGUAGGCGGUUUGUCACGUCGGAUGUGAAAACCCGAGGCUUAACCUCGGGCCUGCAUUCGAUACGGGCUGACUAGAGUUCGGUAGGGGAGACUGGAAUUCCUGGUGUAGCGGUGAAAUGCGCAGAUAUCAGGAGGAACACCGGUGGCGAAGGCGGGUCUCUGGGCCGAUACUGACGCUGAGGAGCGAAAGCGUGGGGGAGCGAACAGG
rnacentral:rRNA from 1 species